UACGUAGGUGGCAAGCGUUGUUCGGAAUAACUGGGCGUAAAGGAUGCGUAGGCGGUUAAACAAGUUAUAUGUUAAAUAUAUAGGCUUAACCUGUAGAAAGCAUAUAAAACUGUUUAACUAGAGUGCAGGAGAGGUAAGUGGAAUUCCUAGUGUAGCGGUGAAAUGCGUAGAGAUUAGGAAGAACACCAGUGGCGAAGGCGGAUGACUGGACGGCAACUGACGGUGAGGCGCGAAAGCGUGGGGAGCAAACAGG
rnacentral:rRNA from 1 species